CGUGCCGCUCCAUGUGCUCGCUGUCAGCCGAGAACGCCAGCCAUCCCGCACAGUGACACUCCCUGUGCGCCUGUCGCUCCUCCUUAUCCGGUCGCUCGGGUCCGCUCACCUCUCUGUGCCCGUGCACCUCCGCACUCUCGUCGUUCUUCCUGCUGGCCUCGCGCCGAGCGUGCGGCGUGGUGACGCCACCGCACCCGCCUCCCUCCUCUAGCUUUAAAGCCAAGCGGAGCAGGCCAUCCCCUUCCUUCCCUCUCCCUCACCUCCCUCGACCACACCAGUUCGCGAGCUCGCCUCGUUGGGCGAGAGCGCAGCCGUUCUUCUCAGCGCCAGUGGUCCCCAUCGCUUCGCGCAGUCGUCAACAUCCAGGGAAUCAACUGUGGAUUGCUUGGUCGCGCCGUUCUCCGUAGCUCCGGUCACCACCAUUUCUGCCCACCAGUUCUACUGUCGUUGUGUAGAUUUUUGUUCUAGAGGAACAGUAUAAGCAAGCAAGCAGGCAAGUGCUAGGAUGAUUAAGUAGCAGCAGCCCACUCCCUCCAGCUCAAAUACAGCAGCGCUGCAAGAGCUCCACGCCACGCCGUGCCUUAGCCUGCGCUCGGGCGCUCCUGCGCCGGUGCACUCCGCGUCCAGCACGCGGUGCGCCUCGACGUUUCUCUGAGCCGAGCGCCAUCGCCAUUCUCCUCGCCACUAAUGCAUGCCGCCGCCAUGAUCUUUCCUCCUCCGCUGCACGCGCCGCCAUGGCCGUUUUUGCCUCCACCGGUCACCGUGGCCACCACCGAAGCACUUCAUCGACGACUGGCUGCUCCACAGCUUCUCCAAGCCAACUUGCACCAUUGAGAGCUCCGCCGUGAUCCACUGGACGUAAAGCGCGCACUCCCUUGGCCCCGGCCCGUCGUCGGUGCGGUGCUCGCCGAGGACCGAGCGCUGCCAUGCCGUCUUACCCGUCGCCGCCUGUGCUCUGGUCGGGCUCUCCGGACGAGAAGCACAUGGACUGGUUCGCCUUCGCGUGCUCGACGCGUUGGUGCCAUUCUCCAGCCGAACCACGUCGUCUCCCGUCGCCCGCUUUGCCUCCGGCAAGCCCACGAAAUAUUUUAUGUCCAUUGCUGUGGAUUUUCUUGGAUGGAUUUAUUUGCAUCUUUCGGUGUUUAUUGAUCGAGUAUUUGUCGUGUACGUAAGUGCGAUCAACGAUGAAUGAUAGAGAUCAGAAAUAUCACAAAGAAAUAAUGCCAGGAAAUCAUGGAAGCGAUGAUGUUGGGUCUUUCUAGGAUUCAACUCCCAGUCAGUUGCUUGUGGGCGGGUUUGAGGCACACCUGCUGGAUAUUUGAAUCUAUUUUGUUGUAUUUUUUCGCUGCAUUUUUUUUAUAUUGUAGACCGAUUGGUCAUAUUAUUGUAAAUUUAAUCCAAUUAAACAUAUUCACCUUAUAAAAUGUAUGGAUGUGAUAUCACUGUUGUAACCGUGUGUACUUGCUACUGAUCAUGGGACAAGUACAGUGGAAACACGGAGUUUCGGGUAAUCUAAUUACCCGGGGCAUCACAAAGGACAUAGAGAGGGAGGCCAAGAUGGCAUGUAACGACGUUUGGUCACCAGCAGGCACUGGCGGUCAUGUGGGCAUGUGGCCGUGCUUCUCUGUCAUAGCUGAACGGAAGGAAAAGGAGAGCUGAAGAAAGACAUGAGCUGUGGUUCCGCAUGGAUAACAAUUUUAGUUUCCAAUUUCUUUCUCUCUCUUUAGCUGUUGGUUGGAGCCGCUAAAAGACCCAAAAAUUUAUGCCAAUUUUUCUGGGGAUGCUACAAUUUGUUUAGAACCCAUUUUAAUUAGUUUGGUUUAAAAACCUUAAGCCAAACUCAAUCUUUUUGUUGGGUCUUAGUUGACAUUGUCCAUCUCAUCCUACACACCCA